AAUCAACGCUGGCGGCAUGCCUAACACAUGCAAGUCGAACGGGAAAGUGGGAGCAAUCCCAUGAGUAUAGUGGCGUACGGGUGAGUAACACGUGACUAACCUACCUCCGAGUGGGGAAUAACUCCGGGAAACCGGGGCUAAUACCGCAUAACAUCUACGGAUCAAAGCAGUAAUGCGCUUGGAGAGGGGGUCGCGGCUGAUUAG
rnacentral:rRNA from 1 species